rnacentral:rRNA from 1 species
GGUCAAGUUAUUAAGGGUGCAGGGCGGAUGCCUUGGCACUAGGAGCCGAUGAAGGACGUGAUAAGCUGCGAUAAGCUUCGGGGAGUUGCACGUAAACUUUGAUCCGAAGAUUUCCGAAUGAGGAAACUCACUUAGAGUAAUGUCUAAGUAUCAUUAAGUGAAUACAUAGCUUAAUGAGGGGAACUCAGGGAACUGAAACAUCUAAGUACCUGAAGGAAGAGAAAGAAAUUCGAUUCCGUAAGUAGCGGCGAGCGAACGCGGAUUAGCCCAAACCAAUAAAGUUUUCUUUAUUGGGGUUGCGGACAUAUCAUAACGAAGAGGUAUCGUAAUUGAAGAGGUUUGGAAAGACCCACCACAGAAGGUAAUAGUCCUGUAUGUUAAACGAGAAGACUUCAGAUAUGAUCCAGAGUACCACGGGACACGUGAAACCCUGUGGGAAGCAGGAGGGACCACCCUCCAAGGCUAAAUACUACCUAGUGACCGAUAGCGUAUAGUACCGUGAGGGAAAGGUGAAAAGAACCCCGGGAGGGGAGUGAAAUAGAACCUGAAACCCUGCACUUACAAGCUGUGGAAGCACAUUUCUUGUGUGACCGCGUACUUUUUGUAGAACGGGCCAACGAGUUACGUUAAGUAGCAAGGUUAAGCACUUAAGGUG